rnacentral:rRNA from 1 species
UACGGGGGGGGCAAGCGUUGUUCGGAAUUACUGGGCGUAAAGGGCUCGUAGGCGGCCAACUAAGUCAGACGUGAAAUCCCUCGGCUUAACCGGGGAACUGCGUCUGAUACUGGAUGGCUUGAAUCCGGGAGAGGGAUGUGGAAUUCCAGGUGUAGCGGUGAAAUGCGUAGAUAUCUGGAGGAACACCGGUGGCGAAGGCGGCAUCCUGGACCGGUAUUGACGCUGAGGCGCGAAAGCUAGGGGAGCAAACGGG